AGUUGGCAUAAUAACAGAGAAUUUGCGGCUAAGGAAGGAACUAUAUUUGGAAAGUCUAUAUCAGAAGACACCCACACAGGGAUUCUAUUGUCCCAAUUGUAAGGUUUGUAUCCAGAAGGUUUUACUUUUGGAUACAGUCCAGCAAGAAAUAAGUGCUCCUGAACAACGUCCUUCACCACCUGAUCCAAUCAGAUGCUCAUCAUGCUUCAGCUUCCUCAUUCCAAUAGGUAGUUGGCUCUUCCCACGGUGGGUACAAGACGAAGUAUCACCUAUUCAAGGUGUGCAACAGCCAACAGGUCACUCAAAGGGAAACGGAAAACUGAGUGAUCAAAGAGCUGAAGUUACAGAAAAAAUUCCAGUUCAGGCCCCUCAGACACGACAAAUUACAGGUCAAGCCCUGGAUGAAGUUAAUACUGCAGCUGAUUCAGGAAAAAUAAUCUCGCAGCCUGAACAAGUCAAGCAUGAUGGAGCAGAUCAAGCAUCUAAUGAAGACGAUCAUAAAACCAGCGAUUCGCCAAAUCUCCCCAGUGAAAUCCCACGAGAUGAGCGUGGACAGGAUGGAUCAAA